GAUGAACGCUGGCGGCGUGCCUAAUACAUGCAAGUCGAGCGAACAGACGAGGAGCUUGCUCCUCUGACGUUAGCGGCGGACGGGUGAGUAACACGUGGAUAACCUACCUAUAAGACUGGGAUAACUUCGGGAAACCGGAGCUAAUACCGGAUAAUAUAUUGAACCGCAUGGUUCAAUAGUGAAAGACGGUUUUGCUGUCACUUAUAGAUGGAUCCGCGCCGCAUUAGCUAGUUGGUAAGGUAACGGCUUACCAAGGCAACGAUGCGUAGCCGACCUGAGAGGGUGAUCGGCCACACUGGAACUGAGACACGGUCCAGACUCCUACGGGAGGCAGCAGUAGGGAAUCUUCCGCAAUGGGCGAAAGCCUGACGGAGCAACGCCGCGUGAGUGAGGAAGGUCUUCGGAUCGUAAAACUCUGUUAUUAGGGAAGAACAAAUGUGUAAGUAACUAUGCACGUCUUGACGGUACCUAAUCAGAAAGCCACGGCUAACUACGUG
rnacentral:rRNA from 1 species